UACAGAGACUGCAAGCGUUAUUCGGCUUCACUGGGCGUAAUGGGUGCGCAGGCGGCCGUGUGUGUGAGGCGUGAAAGCCCGGGGCUUAACCCCGGAAUUGCACCUCAAACUACAUGGCUAGAGCAUUGGAGAGGGUAGCAGAAUUCAUGGUGUAGCAGUGAAAUGCGUAGAUAUCAUGAGGAAUACCAGAGGCGAAGGCGGCUACCUGGACAAUUGCUGACGCUCAGGCACGAAAGCGUGGGGAGCAAAAGGG
rnacentral:rRNA from 1 species